rnacentral:lncRNA from 1 species
GAUAGUAAAUUACCUUUUUGCCAUCGUCUAUGAGAAGCGGUUUCUGAGUAAGGUAAGAUAGAGAUCCUUCUUAGAAAGGACAGAUAACGAGUUAUUAUCAAUUUCUGCAUCAGAUUGAGAGAUAAUUGAGUGAUAAUCAGAUGGCAAGAAUUUAUCUCAAACUGAAUCAGAUUCAGCGGCAGAUCUGAAAGUUGAUGAAACCAAAGAGAGUCUCGCAACGUCAUGUGGUGUUAGAGAACGUUUUCAAUGCAACCUUCAGGAAGUGGAUUGAAGGGAAGCUUAGCGGUUAAGUCUGGAGUUUCGUUAUAUCUCUUUGCUCACUUUUAGUUUAAGCUAAAAACUGAAGUAGUAAUGCCUGCUGAUAGUUAUCUAUUAUUAUUUCCUUCAAAAUCAUUUCUUAGAAUCAAAUAGGUUUUUAAAAGGGCCGGUGGAUGUCUGCUUGUGUUUUUAUUGCAUUAUGUUAGGAUACUUUGGAGCCAAUAUAAUUUUGAAGUUUGAUAUUUAAAAAGGGUUUUGAAACUAUUGUGAUUAGAGCUUUCCUUUUGAUAGUUUUUUUUUUUAUAGCUUUUGGCUUU